AGUCUGUAGGUGACUGCAGAAGGAGGAGGAGCUCCAUCUGUACUCUCUUCAGGCAGUUGUGUCUCUCAGUGCUUGUUGGGUUCACACCUAUUAAAUAAGCUGGCUGGUCUUCACCCUCCAAGAGAAGUCAACUCAUGGGAGGUGGCAGGGUACAGGCAUUGGCCCAAGCUGUGGCUGGGGCCAGGCUGUGGUGUCGGCAGGCAAGCAGCAGACAAGACCAUCUCUGCAAGUGCAGCACAGCCUCAGCCUAGGGCAACGGGAGUGUGAGGCCAAAGCUGUGAGCAGAGGCAUAGAUUUACCUUUGGAGUCCAACCCUUCUGACCAUCCAGAGGCAAGCACAAUAUUCCUGAGAAAAUCUCAAAUAGAUGUGUGACCUUGGUGAUAUAUUAACAUAUCAAGCAAAGAGAUGCAGAUAGAUCUUUGGGCAUAUUUGAUGAACGGUUACACCCAUUUACAUGAGAAGACGUUUUGGAGGAAUAUUUUAAAUAUGAUCCUUAACACAAAUUGGUUUUCAGUUUUGUUUGUAUUCUGUUUAAAGCCAUAAGGCUAACAGCUGAAUUUGCAAUUGUAAGUUUGGAAUGAGUUGGAAAGGGAAUUCUUGAAGCUAAUUAAUUACAAUAUCAGCGUUACUGGCAGUGUUUAUAGCAGAUUCUACUUCAAUCUUCGAACCAUGGCACAUGACAACAGCCUGUAUUCGCUAGUUUAUCUUCUUGACAGAGAAAGAGCAUGGAAGCUGGAGGCUUUUUCAAGGAUGGAACAAGACAAAGUUUUCUAUAGUGCUGCCAAGAAC
rnacentral:lncRNA from 1 species